rnacentral:lncRNA from 1 species
UCUCUCUUGCUCUCUCUCUCUCUUCCCGUCUCUGUGGUUUGUAAGGUAGGUUGCAGUGUGUGUAUAUACACAACAUCAAGAGCAGGAAAAUGGACUCAUUAGGGAGGCAGGCAGUCAUUACCACUCACACUGUACUUCCAGGGAGACACCGAUUAUGAGAAGAGAAACUCAGCGCUGGGGAAGAAGAGAAUGGCACAGACAAUGACUAUUAUUUAUCGAAU